GACGAACGCUGGCGGCGUGCCUAAUACAUGCAAGUUGAGCGCUGAAGGUUGGUACUUGUACCAACUGGAUGAGCAGCGAACGGGUGAGUAACGCGUGAGGAAUCUGCCUUUGAGCGGGGGACAACAUUUGGAAACGAAUGCUAAUACCGCAUAAAAACUUUAAACACAAGUUUUAAGUUUGAAAGAUGCAAUUGCAUCACUGAAAGAUGAUCCCGCGUUGUAUUAGCUAGUUGGUGAGGAAAAGGCUCACCAAGGCGAUGAUACAUAGCCGACAGGGGAGGGUGGUCGGCCACAUUGGGACGGAGAAACGGCCCAAACUCCUACGGGAGGCAGCAGUAGGGAAUCUUCGGCAAUGGACGAAAGUCUGACCGAGCAAGGCCGCGUGAGUGAAGAAGGUUUUCGGAUCGUAAAACUCUGGUGGUAGAGAAGAACGUUGGUGAGAGUGGAAAGCUCAUCAAGUGACGGUAACUACCCAGAAAGGGACGGCUAACUACGUGCCAGCAGCCGCCGCCG
rnacentral:rRNA from 1 species